rnacentral:rRNA from 1 species
UGGGGGAUAUUGCACAAUGGGCGAAAGCCUGAUGCAGCGACGCCGCGUGGGGGAUGAAGGCCUUCGGGUUGUAAACUUCUUUUGCUCUGAACAAGGCAUGCUAAUGGGUGUGUUGAGUGUAGGGGUUGAUUAGCGCCGGCUAACUACGUGCCAGCAGCCGCGGUAAUACGUAGGGCGCGAGCGUUGUCCGGAAUUAUUGGGCGUAAAGGGCUUGUAGGUGGCUGGUUGCGUCUGUCGUGAAAGCUCAUGGCUUGACUGUGGGUUUGCGGUGGGUACGGGCUGGCUUGAGUGCAGUAGGGGAGGCUGGAAUUCCUGGUGUAGCGGUGGAAUGCGCAGAUAUCAGGAGGAAUACCGGUGGCGAAGGCGGGUCUCUGGGCUGUUACUGACACUGAGGAGCGAAAGCAUGGGGAGCGAACAGG